CCUACGGGGGGCAGCAGUGAGGAAUAUUGGUCAAUGGCCGAGAGGCUGAACCAGCCAAGUCGCGUGAGGGAAGACGGCCCUACGGGUUGUAAACCUCUUUUGUCGGGGAGCAAAGAGAGUCACGUGUGACUCAUUGAGAGUACCCGAAGAAAAAGCAUCGGCUAACUCCGUGCCAGCAGCCGCGGUAAUACGGAGGAUGCGAGCGUUAUCCGGAUUUAUUGGGUUUAAAGGGUGCGCAGGCGGAGGUGCAAGUCAGCGGUCAAAUUGCGGGGCUCAACCCCGUACUGCCGUUGAAACUGCAUUCCUUGAGUGCUGGAGAGGCAUGCGGAAUUCGUGGUGUAGCGGUGAAAUGCGUAGAUAUCACGCAGAACUCCGGUUGCGAAGGCAGCAUACCGGAGCGCAACUGACGCUCAUGCACGAAAGCGUGGGGAUCGAACAGGAUUAGAUACCCGGGUAGUC
rnacentral:rRNA from 1 species